rnacentral:rRNA from 1 species
AGCGAACGCUGGCGGCAGGCCUAACACAUGCAAGUCGAACGAACCCUCCGGGGCUAGUGUCGUACGGGGGAGCAACACGUGGGAACGCGCCUCUAGGCACGGAAUAACGCAGGGAAUAUCGCGCUAAUACCGAAGGUGCUAUUCCGGGGAACGAUUAAUCGCCUUUGGAGCGGCCCGAGGCCGAUUUGCUUGGGUGUUGAGGUAAUGGCUUACCAAGGCUGGGGGCGGUAGCUGGUAUGAGAGGAUGAUCAGCCACACUGGGACGGAGACACGGCCCAGACUCCUGCGGGAGGCAGCAGUGGGGAAUCUUGGAGAAUGGGGGCAAGGCUGAUCCAGCCAUGCCGCGUGAGAGAAGAAGGCCUUCGGGUUGUAAAGCUCUUGCGGCAGGAACGAAACGAUGAGCUUUAACCGAGCUUGCUAAUGACGGUACCCGAAAAAGAAGCCCCGGCUAACUACGUG